rnacentral:rRNA from 1 species
AUGAAGCGCGCGCGCAGCUCCGAGAUCUUCCUCGGCGGCCGGGCGCGCGCGCGCAGGCGCCUGGCGCCCCUCCUCGCCGCGGCCGCCUUCGCGUACCUCGUCUUCGUCUCCGUCAAGCUCUCCGGCCUCGGCAGCUGGGAGGACUCCGCGGCUAUCCCCCGCCCGGAAACCGCCGCCUCGCGAGGCGAGCUGCUGCAGCGGGAUGCCCUCGAGCGGGCGCCCCGCGGGCGCCGCGCCGCUGGGGGCGGUGCUGCUGUCACGGGGUACGGCCGCAUCACCGGGGAGAUCCUCCGGCGCCACGAGGCUCUUGGCGGGGGGAGCCGGAGGAGGUGGGGCCUGCGGGGAAACUUCUCCGAGCUCGAGCGCAUGGCCGCGGAGGCGUGGGCGCUCGGGGCCAGGGCGUGGGAGGAGGCCUCCGCGUUCUCCGGCGACGUGGACGCCAUCGUCUCGGGCGACGGCGCGGCGGUCGAGUGCCCCGCCUCGCUCGAGCUCGGUGGCGGCGGGGAGGGCGAGACGGCCGCGUUCCUGCCGUGCGGGCUGGCGGUGGGGUCGGCGGUGACGGUCGUGGCGACGCCGCGCGAGGCGGUGGCGGAGUACGUGGAGGCGCUGGAGCGGAGCGGGAGCGGGAACGGGACGGUCAUGGUGGCGCAGUUCGCGGUGGAGCUGCGCGGCCUGCGCGCCUCCGAGGGCGAGGACCCGCCCAGGAUCCUCCACCUCAACCCGCGGCUCCGCGGCGACUGGAGCCGUCGGCCGGUGCUGGAGAUGAACACCUGCUUCCGCAUGCAGUGGGGCAAGGCGCAGCGCUGCGACGGCACCCCCUCCAAGGACGACGACCAUGUCGAUGGUUUUCCAAAAUGUGAGAAAUGGGAACGGAGGGACAUGGCUGAUUCAAAAGAAACAAAAACAAGCUCAUGGUUCAACAGGUUCAUCGGCCGAGCAAAGAAACCAGAAAUGACCUGGCCAUACCCAUUUUUAGAGGGGAAGAUGUUUGUUCUCACUAUCCAAGCUGGUGUUGAAGGAUACCAUAUUAAUGUAGGGGGUCGUCAUGUUGCCUCAUUUCCUCAUCGGAUGGGAUUCACUCUCGAAGAUGCAACUGGUUUAGCUGUAACAGGCGGCAUAGAUGUUCACUCAGUGUAUGCAACCUCUCUUCCGAAGGCUCAUCCUAGUUUUUCUCUGCAAAAUGUCUUGGAAAUGUCUGAUAAGUGGAAGGCUCGCCCUGUGCCAGAGGAACCAAUUCAGCUUUUUAUCGGCAUUCUCUCUGCUACAAACCAUUUUGCUGAGCGGAUGGCUAUUAGAAAAACUUGGAUGCAGUUUCCUGCAAUCCAAUUGGGAAAUGUGGUUGCUCGAUUCUUUGUCGCACUGAGCCAUAGAAAAGAGAUAAAUGCAGCACUAAAGAAGGAAGCAGAAUAUUUUGGAGACGUUGUCAUUCUGCCAUUUAUCGACCGGUAUGAGUUGGUGGUUCUCAAAACAGUUGCGAUAUGUCAGUACGGGGUGCAAAAUGUUACCGCGGAGUAUAUCAUGAAGUGCGACGAUGAUACCUUUGUGAGGCUGGAUGUAGUGUUGCAACAGGUCUCUACCUUCAACAGAACCUUGCCUCUUUAUCUUGGCAACCUAAAUCUCUUACACAGGCCUCUCCGGAGCGGUAAAUGGGCCGUGACGUUCGAGGAAUGGCCAGAAUUGGUGUAUCCCCCCUAUGCCAACGGACCCGGCUACGUAAUUUCGAUUAAUAUUGCCAGAGACAUCGUGUCCCGUCACGCAAUUCAGUCACUAAGGCUGUUCAAGAUGGAGGAUGUGAGCAUGGGCAUGUGGGUCGAAGACUACAACACUACCACCAUCACCGCGCCGGUGCAGUACAUUCACAGCUGGAAGUUCUGCCAGUAUGGCUGCGUGGACAACUACUUCACGGCGCACUACCAGUCCCCCAGGCAGAUGCUGUGCCUCUGGGACAAACUGUCGUUAGGCCGCGCGCAAUGCUGCAACUACAGAUGA